AUGACAGCAUCGGGUCCUUUCCACAGUGGCUCCAGGGACUUGCGUUGGUGUCUACGGAUCAGGACCCGGUCACCAGGCUUGAAACUCCCCCACUGCACUGGCUACCCCCUGGCUUACCUGUGAGAUGAAGGCAGGGCCAUUGUCUGACCCUAUCAUGUGUGGGAAGCCAAACCUGGUAAGGAUCUCUUUUUUUUUUUUUUUGGUUUUUCGAGACAGGGUUUCUCUGUGGCUUUGGAGCCUGUCCUGGAACUUGCUCUGUAGACCAGGCUGGUCUCGAACUCACAGAGAUCCGCUUGCCUCUGCCUCCCGAGUGAUCUCUUUAAGGAAUUUCUUAGCCACCACAUAGGCAGUCUUGUGUUUGGUAGGAUAAGCUUCAAUCCAUAUUUACCUGGUUUGACUUCUGUAAAGUCCACUUCCCAGUAUGUACCUGGGUGAGUUCCUCUCUCUUGGACACCUCUUUUUCCUUGUGUUUUAUAGGAGUUUACCAAUGAGCAUAUUUUGCCCUGCUUUACAUUAUAAAUUUUUGCCAUAUGCCAAGGCAUGCGUGCGGUAGCCUUCAGACCUGCCCGAUAGAGCCUGGCGGAAGACACGGAGACUCUCCUUACCUUCUGCUGUGUUGAAGUUCCAGUUAGAAUGGGUUGCUGGGAAGGCUGUUAGGGCUAGCAGAGGGUCCACUAGAGGGGCGUCUGUAGGUCCUGGGAGCAGCUUCCAGGUGUUUUCUAGGAUUCUGCUUCUCUCCUCAGUCGUAAAGAGGACCCCCAACAGCUGCUGGCGAUCGUCUUAUGUAGGGGCAUGGGUAAAAGGAACAGUUUCCAACAGGCUAAUCAAGUCCUGGGGGUCCUUGGAAAAUGGUGCAUUCUGAGCCUUCCAAUUAUACAAGUCACUGGAAACAAAUGACCAAUAAUGGAAGGGUUGGUUCCCUGAAUCAUCAGGAGGGCCAGCGGGUCUGAGAGGAAGGGCCACCGUGGAGUCUGGGUGUGGGGUCCCUGCCUUCCUGCUACGGGUAGACAGUGCCGGUGGCUCUCCUACCUCUGCCCCUGAUGGUUGGGGGGGCUGAGGCUUCUUCUACAGGAGCUGUGGGAUGUGGCUCGGGGAGACUGAGGGAAAUAGGGAGGUGGGAAAAGCUCUGUCUCCAUUGUUUCCCCCUGGAAUAAGCAGCAGGCUUUGUCCUAUUCUCUUCUUUACUUGCUGAGGGAGCUCUAGUCUUAGCAGUCAAAACUUGAGCGCCUUGGGUCUGCUGUGGAAGUAAGAACGGUACAAUCCAAGGAAGGGGUCCCCCUACCCUAUCUAUUAGCCCCCUCCAAGUAACAAAAUAGGGGACUUGGUCAGGGUGGCCACAGCAGAGGCGGAAGACAAUCUCCUCCACCCAGUGGAUAGUUGCUGGCCAGCCGACAUUGCAGGUGGGCCACUCAGUUGAACAAAAAGUGACCUAUUUCUUCUUUUUGACAGUUACACCGUUGUUGCUGACAGUAUCCUGGACGUCCUGCCAGUGAGCAGGAGUUAAGUUUAGGGGUCUUGACAGGGUAUUCCCCAUUGCUGAAGAGGAGAGCUGAAGAUAGAAGAGAGAAAGAAAGCAAAGCAACAAUCACCACAACAAAACACAAAAAGACUUUGACAAGUUCCUGAACAAAAUACAAGAUGGCAUUCCCCCCCCCACCCCCUACCCCCCGCAGUGGAGGGGGGGUACACAAACACACUCCUAAUGUUGAAAGCACAGGAUGGCUCCUGACCGCUUCCCGAAGGAGGUUUUCAAAACCAAAUGGCUGCCUCUGAGGUGGCCCAAAUGGCUCAGGACCGUGGGGUCUUUAGCCCAAACUGGGGAACGAAAUGUCUUUCUUUCCCUCCAGGUUCACUUUCCGGACAUGUCUGUCCCAGCGAGAAUCUGCCAAUUCCAGAAUCCCAGAUUGGUCAACUGGUACAGAACAAAAGUUACAAAACAACAACACAGACAAAAGACAAAGAGCAUCAUCUCUUACCGGUAGAUGCUAAUGAACCUCCGGACUCUCGGUCUGGUGGGAUCCCUGGGGUUUCCCGGCCACUGCACCAAACGUUGUGCCCAGAUUACCACCCCCAGAGAGACCACCAGAGACCAGAGAAGUCCAGACUGCAACAGCAAGGUUUAUUGUUAUUAUAAUGUGAGCUAGCUCAGAACUCAUCUCAAGCACUCCUCACAGUGAAGCAGAGAGGAGUUAGAGUCCUUCUGUGGGGUUAGCUUUUCAAAGGCAAAAUCCACAAGCCCUUCAGGGCCCUCAGAGGGGUUUGGCAGGGGUACAAGGUUUUUCCUCUUUCCCAUUCUGUUUUGUCAGUUUGCUUUGUUUUUAGAGCAAGGUCACACUGUCCCUGAGUCAGGACACCUUUCUCAGACUCCACCAGGUGUGUGUGUGGGGGGGCACUAUCAUUACUGAGCACGUGAAGCUAGUCUGGGGUUUUUGAUUUUAAAACAUUCUGCUAGGAAAUUCCUUCUCAUUCCUUUGAGAAUAAGGGAUGAGGGUCUUACAAUGGUUCGUAGGCAAUGACUGUUACUGCUAGGAAAAUUAUUUGAAAAUAAAAAUGAAUCCACACCAGAUAGACAAUGUUGCAGAAAUAUUUGUCCUGGGUUUUUAAGUUUUAAAAAGCAUCCUCUGAUGGGCCCCGGAAGUGCUUCACUCUGCUGCUUCGCUUUCCUCUCUCAUCUUCGGCUGCCUUUCUGCCCUCCUCAUCAGGAAAGUGUGGCUGAGAUACGGAAAGUCAUAGGUGGUGGCACAGGCUAUAUAGGUCUUGCUGCUUGUUCUGGUGGUGAAGGUAGACCCAGCCCCCUCUUCUCUCACACAGCGUGGUUUUUCCUCCAGUGUGUCAACUGCAGGCCAACGUCCAAGGCUCUGGUUCCCACCAUUGUGGCUCCACCCAGGCCAUCUCUACACACCAGCGUCAUGUGCCUUUGGAACUUAGGCUCAAACUAGGGCCCGAGACAGAAUGGUGUCUGAUAUUAGCUGAUUCUAUUCUGACCAGUCAGCUAAGUAAGAACCCUACAGACAGGAAGGGGAAACAGAUGAUCAGGGGCGGGGAGAGGCACCUCAGGCAGCUCCUGUGGCCACCAGUGUCAACCUCUCAGGCACUUGGCCAGGCUCUGGUGAAGAAGGAAGCACAGCUUGCUCACGGUUUGGACAGUUCAGGUUUCCAGCGGCUGUGGGUGUCACGAAGUGGCAGAUAAUAAAACAGACAGAAUAAAGUAUCCAGCAAGAAAGAGUGGUUUGGAAUUUCCCCGGGAGAAAAGCAGACACUGGAGUUAAAGGUAACACGCUCUUUGCGUCAUGCAUCGGCUGUGGCUGUGACAGCAAGCUUCCGCGGAGAUAAGGACAGAGCAUUUGCAGGUUGCUUGAAAUAGUGAUUUAUAGCAUAGAGACCUGACAUGGUCCCCUCCAGCUCAGGGACUAGCUUCCUAGGUCCUGUGGAACAAAUACUCUCAGGCAACUCUAUGAGGAAGGCAGAGAUAGGGAAUUGCUUGUAGGAGAACUAACCCAAGACCCUAAGGGCCCAUAGAACACAGGAACAGCAAAUCCAGUAUGGCUAGAGCACGCUCAAUCUCCAUCGGUUCCAGGACAGCUUUGACAGCGACAUUUUCUUCUUGCAUUUUAUUUGCUGGUGUUUCUAUUAUCCUCUGAAGUCCAGAGCAUUGCCUGAGGAGACCGCAGCAGCAGAACAGGAACUCCACCUCUCCGCGGGUCUCCAUGAGGUUCUGGGAACCGUCAGCACAUCCAAAUUAGGAUCUCCAGGAAGGCUCACAUGCUGAUGCGGGGCCUAGGAAGAAAAUGAGAUAAAACCGCCCAGGAUGACAUAUGCACCAAUGAAACCCGUGGAUCUGAGAGCCAAGGCCAUGAUCUUCCUCACAGCAAUCACGUUGGUUCUGACUGUUGUCAUGAGGGAUGGAGACUACCUUACGAGUGUCAGCAAUUCUCUAAGUAUUUUUUUUUAAUCACAUCUGCCUUCCUUCACGAUCCUUGCCAGCAUUUCUGACCCGGAACUACGUAAAGAAGAGGAUCGUGGGAAGCGUGAUUCCUAGCCUUAGGGGAGGCCGUGCCUGUAAGCCUGUAGAUUGACCGGCAGAUUUCUGUGAUGAGUAAACCCAGCGGGGCCUUAACUCUCUCAGAUCACGCAUGAAUGUGUGUUUAAAGAGCAGCAAGUGAUGCCUUGGAAAUGGAAGAGAAAUCAAGGAAUGCUGGUCAUCGCGUUUUUGCUCUUCUCUGCCAAACAAGUCUGAUGAAAUUUAAUCCUGCAUUCACCGGUGGGUUCACAAUUGUCCCUGGUCUGCAAGAUAACACCCCUUGGGCCAAGAAAAACUAAGAAGCUCAUCACCUGCAUAUUGAUGCUUUUGUUUUCAGACUCAAGGAAGCACCCUUCCUUAUAACCUUUUAAAUCACUUAGAGUUCCGUUUGCCUGGAUUUAUAAAGGGUCUCUUGGAGCUAAAAGUAUUGGAGGCUGAUUGCUUAAUUAUGUACACUGUGCCUGUGGACCGCCAGUUCUCUUUUUUACUGUUCUCAGUAAUUUGAUCUUCCUAGAAACAAACUCUGAAAAAUAUAAACAGUAAAUAUUGCAUUAAAGGCUUGAACUAAACUUCCUACUUGCUUGGGUGAAGGAACAAGACCCCUGAUGUGGUCCAGACUGUCCAGGACUCACAGGCCUGAGUCUGGCUAAGCAGUAAGAAGUGAUUCUACUGCCUUGAAAGGCAGGGAAAUGGACUUGCGGUGGAAAACGGGCACCAGGCGCCUUCUGCACGUUUUCGUGACUUAAAAAAACAUCAAAACUAAGUAGACAUUUCGAGUUUAUUAUUAUCUCAUUGACAUUUCUGGAAGUAUUUCUUUGUUUUCCAAAUUCCAGUGUCUGGUACUAAGACAUUGAAGAGUAGAACACCUUCAGAUUUAUUCUUCAGUGACUUAUUUCAAAACCGAAGUUUACGUGUGUUCUGAUCAGUGAAAUAGGAUGUCGACUCCUGGGGACAUAUGCUAAGUAGUGGUAUAGCCAGGUCCUACAGCCCAUUUAUUUUUAGUCUUCUGAGCACCCUCCCUGCUGAUUUCCAGAGUGGCUGCAUCAGUUUGCAGUUCCACUCGCUGUAAAUGGCUGCUUCUCUCUUCCCCAGAGCCUCCCCAGCCUUGUUUGCCAGCUCUUUGGUUGCUUUUAACCAUUCUGACCAACAUGAGAUGCAACCUCAGAAUUAUUUCAAUUUGAAUCUCCCUGCUAGCUAAGAAUGAUGAGCCGUUUUUGAGGGAUCACUUACCAUAUUUUUUAAUGAGAACCCACUGUUUAGAUUCCUAGCUCAUCCUUACAUUGGAUCAUUUGUUUCCUGAGUUCUUUGGAUAUUCUGGAAAUUAAUCCUCAGAUGUAUAGCUAACAAAGGUUCUCUCCUACUCUGAGUUUCUUCUCCAGUUAAUCAGCUGUGCCCUCAGCUAGACCAUAGACUUUAGUUUCACAAGGUCCCUGGUGUGGGGCAUCCACCACAGAAGACUGCUCAGACACAGAUUUAAGCCAAUAGAAAGUAUUAGCCAACUGGCACCUAUACUACAUGUUUGGGAUCAGUGCAGCACCAAGCUUUUCUUGGGGUACACUUUCUUUCUCCCUCCUUCUUAUUUAUUCUGUGUCUUUCACACCAUGCAUCUUCAUCCCAUUCAUUUCCCUAUCCCUUCGUAUCCACCCUCUGCCCUUGUACACCCCCCCAAUAAAACAAAAUAAAUCUUAAGAGAAAAGAGAAAAAGCGAGAGAGAGAG